GAUGAACGCUGACAGAAUGCUUAACACAUGCAAGUCAACUUGAAUUUGGGUUUUUAACUUAGGUUUGGGUGGCGGACGGGUGAGUAACGCGUAAAGAACUUGCCUCACAGGUAGGGACAACAUUUGGAAACGAAUGCUAAUACCUAAUAUUAUGAUAAUAGGGCAUCCUAUAAUUAUGAAAGCUAUAAGCGCUGUGAGAGAGCUUUGCGUCCCAUUAGCUAGUUGGAGAGGUAACGGCUCACCAAGGCGAUGAUGGGUAGCCGGCCUGAGAGGGUGAUCGGCCACAAGGGGACUGAGACACGGCCCUUACUCCUACGGGAGGCAGCAGUGGGGAAUAUUGGACAAUGGACCAAGAGUCUGAUCCAGCAAUUCUGUGUGCACGAUGAAGUUUUUCGGAAUGUAAAGUGCUUUCAGUUGGGAAGAAAGAAAUGACGGUACCAACAGAAGAAGUGACGGCUAAAUACGUGCCAGCAGCCGCGGUAAUACGUAUGUCACGAGCGUUAUCCGGAUUUAUUGGGCGUAAAGCGCGUCUAGGUGGUUAUAUAAGUCUGAUGUGAAAAUGCAGGGCUCAACUCUGUAUUGCGUUGGAAACUGUAUAACUAGAGUACUGGAGAGGUAAGCGGAACUACAAGUGUAGAGGUGAAAUUCGUAGAUAUUUGUAGGAAUGCCGAUGGGGAAGCCAGCUUACUGGACAGAUACUGACGCUGAAGCGCGAAAGCGUGGGUAGCAAACAGG
rnacentral:rRNA from 1 species